GAUGAACGCUGGCGGCGUGCCUAAUACAUGCAAGUCGAGCGAACAGACGAGGAGCUUUCUCCUCUGACGUUAGCGGCGGACGGGUGAGUAACACGUGGAUAACCUACCUAUAAGACUGGGAUAACUUCGGGAAACCGGAUCUAAUACCGGAUCAUAUAUUGAACCGCAUGGUUCAAUAGUGAAAGACGGUUUUGCUGUCCCUUAUAGAUGGAUCCGCGCCGCAUUAGCUAGUUGGUAAGGUAACGGCUUACCAAGGCGACGAUGCGUAGCCGACCUGAGAGGAUGAUCGGCCACACUGGAACUGAGACACGGUCCAGACUCCUACGGGAGGCAGCAGUAGGGAAUCUUCGGCAAUGGGCGAAAGCCUGACGCAGCAACGCCGCGUGAGUGAUGAAGGUCUUCGGAUCGUAAAACUCUGUUAUUAGGGAAGAACAAAUGUGUAAGUAACUAUGCACGUCUUGACGGUACCUAAUCAGAAAGCCACGGCUAACUACGUG
rnacentral:rRNA from 1 species